GACGAACCCGUGCGAACGUUGUUCGGAAUCACUGGGCUUAAAGGGCGCGUAGGCGGGCUGUCAAGUCUGGGGUGAAAUGCCGCGGCUCAACCGUGGAAGAGCCUCGGAGACUGAGGGCCUCGAGGGGGGUAGGGGCGUGCGGAACUAUGGGUGGAGCGGUGAAAUGCAUUGAUAUCCAUAGGAACUCCGGUGGCGAAGGCGGCACGCUGGACCCCUUCUGACGCUGAGGCGCGAAAGCCAGGGGAGCAAACGGGAUUAGAAACCCUGGUAGU
rnacentral:rRNA from 1 species